UGGGGAAUAUUGGACAAUGGGCGAAAGCCUGAUCCAGCAAUACCGCGUGUGUGAAGAAGGCCCGAGGGUUGUAAAGCACUUUCAAUGGGGAGGAAAAAGCAAAGGCUAAUACCCUUUGAAUUGACAUUACCCAUAGAAGAAGCACCGGCUAACUCCGUGCCAGCAGCCGCGGUAAUACGGAGGGUGCGAGCGUUAAUCGGAAUUACUGGGCGUAAAGCGUGCGUAGGCGGCGCGCCAAGCCAGGCGUGAAAGCCCCGGGCUUAACCUGGGAACGGCGCUUGGAACUGGCGGGCUAGAGUCGAGCAGAGGGGGGCGGAAUUCCGGGUGUAGCGGUGAAAUGCGUAGAUAUCCGGAGGAACACCCGUGGCGAAGGCGGCCCCCUGGGCUCAAACUGACGCUGAGGCACGAAAGCGUGGGUAGCAAACAGG
rnacentral:rRNA from 1 species